UACGAAGGGGGGCUAGCGUUGCUCGGAUUGACUGGGCGUAAAGGGCGCGUAGGCGGUUCGUACAGUCAGACGUGAAAUUCCUGGGCUCAACCUGGGGGCUGCGUUUGAUACGUGCGGACUUGAGUGCGGAAGAGGGUCGUGGAAUUCCCAGUGUAGAGGUGAAAUUCGUAGAUAUUAGGAAGAACACCGGUGGCGAAGGCGGCCCACUGGUCCGGUACUGACGCUGAGGUGCGAAAGCGUGGGGAGCAAACAGG
rnacentral:rRNA from 1 species